UACGUAGGGUGCAAGCGUUAAUCGGAAUUACUGGGCGUAAAGCGUGCGCAGGCGGUUUUUCAAGACAGAUGUGAAAUCCCCGGGCUUAACCUGGGAAUGGCAUUUGUGACUGGAAGGCUAGAGUGUGUCAGAGGGGGGUAGAAUUCCACGUGUAGCAGUGAAAUGCGUAGAGAUGUGGAGGAAUACCGAUGGCGAAGGCAGCCCCCUGGGAUAACACUGACGCUCAUGCACGAAAGCGCGGGGAGCAAACAGG
rnacentral:rRNA from 1 species